GAUGAACGCUGGCGGCAUGCCUAAUACAUGCAAGUCGAGCGAACAGACGAGGAGCUUGCUCCUCUGACGUUAGCGGCGGACGGGUGAGUAACACGUGGAUAACCUACCUAUAAGACUGGGAUAACUUCGGGAAACCGGAGCUAAUACCGGAUAAUAUAUUGAACCGCAUGGUUCAAUAGUGAAAGACGGUUUUGCUGUCACUUAUAGAUGGAUCCGCGCCGCAUUAGCUAGUUGGUAAGGUAACGGCUUACCAAGGCAACGAUGCGUAGCCGACCUGAGAGGGUGAUCGGCCACACUGGAACUGAGACACGGUCCAGACUCCUACGGGAGGCAGCAGUAGGGAAUCUUCCGCAAAGGGCGAAAGCCUGACGGAGCAACGCCGCGUGAGUGAUGAAGGUCUUCGGAUCGUAAAACUCUGUUAUUAGGGAAGAACAAAUGUGUAAGUAACUAUGCACGUCUUGACGGUACCUAAUCAGAAAGCCACGGCUAACUACGUG
rnacentral:rRNA from 1 species